GAUGAACGCUGGCGGCGUGCCUAACACAUGCAAGUCGAGCGAUUCUCUUCGGAGAAGAGCGGCGGACGGGUGAGUAACGCGUGGGUAACCUGCCCUAUACACAUGGAUAACAUACCGAAAGGUAUGCUAAUACAGGAUAACAUAAGAGAUUCGCAUGGAUUUCUUAUCAAAGCUCCGGCGGUAUAGGAUGGACCCGCGUCUGAUUAGCUAGUUGGUAAGGUAACGGCUUACCAAGGCGACGAUCAGUAGCCGACCUGAGAGGGUGAUCGGCCACAUUGGAACUGAGACACGGUCCAAACUCCUACGGGAGGCAGCAGUGGGGAAUAUUGCACAAUGGGCGAAAGCCUGAUGCAGCAACGCCGCGUGAGUGAUGAAGGCCUUCGGGUCGUAAAACUCUGUCCUCAAGGAAGAUAAUGACGGUACUUGAGGAGGAAGCCCCGGCUAACUACGUGCCAGCAGCCGCGGUAAUACGUAGGGGGCUAGCGUUAUCCGGAUUUACUGGGCGUAAAGGGUGCGUAGGUGGUUUUUUAAGUCAGGAGUGAAAGGCUACGGCUCAACCGUAGUAAGCUCUUGAAACUGAGAAACUUGAGUGCAGGAGAGGAAAGUGNAAUUCCUAGUGUAGCGGUGAAAUG
rnacentral:rRNA from 1 species